GGUUAAGCGACUAAGCGUACACGGUGGAUGCCCUGGCAGUCAGAGGCGAUGAAGGACGUGCUAAUCUGCGAUAAGCGUCGGUAAGGUGAUAUGAACCGUUAUAACCGGCGAUUUCCGAAUGGGGAAACCCAGUGUGUUUCGACACACUAUCAUUAACUGAAUCCAUAGGUUAAUGAGGCGAACCGGGGGAACUGAAACAUCUAAGUACCCCGAGGAAAAGAAAUCAACCGAGAUUCCCCCAGUAGCGGCGAGCGAACGGGGAGCAGCCCAGAGCCUGAAUCAGUGUGUGUGUUAGUGGAAGCGUCUGGAAAGGCGCGCGAUACAGGGUGACAGCCCCGUACACAAAAAUGCACAUGCUGUGAGCUCGAUGAGUAGGGCGGGACACGUGGUAUCCUGUCUGAAUAUGGGGGGACCAUCCUCCAAGGCUAAAUACUCCUGACUGACCGAUAGUGAACCAGUACCGUGAGGGAAAGGCGAAAAGAACCCCGGCGAGGGGAGUGAAAAAGAACCUGAAACCGUGUACGUACAAGCAGUGGGAGCCUCUUUAUGGGGUGACUGCGUACCUUUUGUAUAAUGGGUCAGCGACUUAUAUUCUGUAGCAAGGUUAACCGAAUAGGGGAGCCGAAGGGAAACCGAGUCUUAACUGGGCGUUAAGUUGCAGGGUAUAGACCCGAAACCCGGUGAUCUAGCCAUGGGCAGGUUGAAGGUUGGGUAACACUAACUGGAGGACCGAACCGACUAAUGUUGAAAAAUUAGCGGAUGACUUGUGGCUGGGGGUGAAAGGCCAAUCAAACCGGGAGAUAGCUGGUUCUCCCCGAAAGCUAUUUAGGUAGCGCCUCGUGAAUUCAUCUCCGGGGGUAGAGCACUGUUUCGGCAAGGGGGUCAUCCCGACUUACCAACCCGAUGCAAACUGCGAAUACCGGAGAAUGUUAUCACGGGAGACACACGGCGGGUGCUAACGUCCGUCGUGAAGAGGGAAACAACCCAGACCGCCAGCUAAGGUCCCAAAGUCAUGGUUAAGUGGGAAACGAUGUGGGAAGGCCCAGACAGCCAGGAUGUUGGCUUAGAAGCAGCCAUCAUUUAAAGAAAGCGUAAUAGCUCACUGGUCGAGUCGGCCUGCGCGGAAGAUGUAACGGGGCUAAACCAUGCACCGAAGCUGCGGCAGCGACGCUUAUGCGUUGUUGGGUAGGGGAGCGUUCUGUAAGCCUGUGAAGGUGUGCUGUGAGGCAUGCUGGAGGUAUCAGAAGUGCGAAUGCUGACAUAAGUAACGAUAAAGCGGGUGAAAAGCCCGCUCGCCGGAAGACCAAGGGUUCCUGUCCAACGUUAAUCGGGGCAGGGUGAGUCGACCCCUAAGGCGAGGCCGAAAGGCGUAGUCGAUGGGAAACAGGUUAAUAUUCCUGUACUUGGUGUUACUGCGAAGGGGGGACGGAGAAGGCUAUGUUGGCCGGGCGACGGUUGUCCCGGUUUAAGCGUGUAGGCUGAUUUUCCAGGCAAAUCCGGAAAAUCAAGGCUGAGGCGUGAUGACGAGGCACUACGGUGCUGAAGCAACAAAUGCCCUGCUUCCAGGAAAAGCCUCUAAGCAUCAGGUAACAUCAAAUCGUACCCCAAACCGACACAGGUGGUCAGGUAGAGAAUACCAAGGCGCUUGAGAGAACUCGGGUGAAGGAACUAGGCAAAAUGGUGCCGUAACUUCGGGAGAAGGCACGCUGAUAUGUAGGUGAAGUCCCUCGCGGAUGGAGCUGAAAUCAGUCGAAGAUACCAGCUGGCUGCAACUGUUUAUUAAAAACACAGCACUGUGCAAACACGAAAGUGGACGUAUACGGUGUGACGCCUGCCCGGUGCCGGAAGGUUAAUUGAUGGGGUCAGCGCAAGCGAAGCUCUUGAUCGAAGCCCCGGUAAACGGCGGCCGUAACUAUAACGGUCCUAAGGUAGCGAAAUUCCUUGUCGGGUAAGUUCCGACCUGCACGAAUGGCGUAAUGAUGGCCAGGCUGUCUCCACCCGAGACUCAGUGAAAUUGAACUCGCUGUGAAGAUGCAGUGUACCCGCGGCAAGACGGAAAGACCCCGUGAACCUUUACUAUAGCUUGACACUGAACAUUGAGCCUUGAUGUGUAGGAUAGGUGGGAGGCUUAGAAGUGUGGACGCCAGUCUGCAUGGAGCCGGCCUUGAAAUACCACCCUUUAAUGUUUGAUGUUCUAACGUGGACCCGUAAUCCGGGUUGCGGACAGUGUCUGGUGGGUAGUUUGACUGGGGCGGUCUCCUCCUAAAGAGUAACGGAGGAGCACGAAGGUUGGCUAAUCCUGGUCGGACAUCAGGAGGUUAGUGCAAUGGCAUAAGCCAGCUUGACUGCGAGCGUGACGGCGCGAGCAGGUGCGAAAGCAGGUCAUAGUGAUCCGGUGGUUCUGAAUGGAAGGGCCAUCGCUCAACGGAUAAAAGGUACUCCGGGGAUAACAGGCUGAUACCGCCCAAGAGUUCAUAUCGACGGCGGUGUUUGGCACCUCGAUGUCGGCUCAUCACAUCCUGGGGCUGAAGUAGGUCCCAAGGGUAUGGCUGUUCGCCAUUUAAAGUGGUACGCGAGCUGGGUUUAGAACGUCGUGAGACAGUUCGGUCCCUAUCUGCCGUGGGCGCUGGAGAACUGAGGGGGGCUGCUCCUAGUACGAGAGGACCGGAGUGGACGCAUCACUGGUGUUCGGGUUGUCAUGCCAAUGGCACUGCCCGGUAGCUAAAUGCGGAAGAGAUAAGUGCUGAAAGCAUCUAAGCACGAAACUUGCCCCGAGAUGAGUUCUCCCUGACUCCUUGAGAGUCCUGAAGGAACGUUGAAGACGACGACGUUGAUAGGCCGGGUGUGUAAGCGCAGCGAUGCGUUGAGCUAACCGGUACUAAUGAACCGUGAGGCUUAACCUUACAACGCCGAAG
rnacentral:rRNA from 1 species